AUGGAUAAACACAAAAUACCAAAAAAAUUAGGUGUACUUGCUGCUCAUGGAGAUGGGGAACCUCCUAAAACCCUCGAUGCUCGUUAUGUGAUAGAUAUUAUGUACUACUUUGAUAAUCCUGAGAAAACCCCAUUCAAUUUGGUAAUGGGAGACAUGUUGGAUCAACGUGAAUACUUUAGGGAUUAUCGCUUGACUCAAAAAGGGAAACUAUUAUGGGAUCAAAUUUAUAUGUUGAAGUGGUAUGCUAGGCAACUAUGCUUGAGAUAUGAUUAUACUUGUUGCUCUAGGAUGAAGGCUCCACACCUUCCCUUUUCAUGCAAAUUUAAUGAUAAUGAAACCUUGGCUUCUUAUGCUAGAGGUAUAUAUGAUUACUAUGAUGUGGAACAAAUAGAAGAAUCUGUUGCUUUUAUGGGUGCUUAUGAAAUUGAAUCUGUAUUUAAAGAAUGUGAAAAUCUUUAUGAUGCUGUUUAUAGACCUGAAAAUUUAGCUAUCCUUAAAUAUUGCUAUGAGAAUUAUGAAUACAAUGCCGAUAUUGAUGCAUUUAUUGAGAAAGUCUCCGCUGUUCAAGAAGAGACUAAUAUUUUGCAGGAGUCUAUGGAAGAAGAAAUUGAUGAAACUGUGAGCUCAUUGGAUGAAAAAGAUGAGGAGGAGAGCGAAGAACAAAAGGACGAAGAGCGGAUUGAUCACCCGUGCCCACCUUCUAAUGAGAGUAACUCUUCAACUCAUACAUUGUUUAAUUUCCCUUCGUGCUUACCGAAGGAUGAUUGCUAUGAUGACUGUUAUGAUCCCGUUGAUUCUCUUGAAAUAUCCCUUUUUGAUGAUGCUUGCUAUGCUUGUGUCCAAGAUGCCAAUAUGAAUUAUGCUUAUGGAGAUGAACUUGCUAUAGUUCCUUAUGUUAAACAUGAAAUUGUUGCUAUUGCACCCACGCAUGAUAGUCCUAUUAUCUUUUUGAAUUCUCCCGACUACACUAUAUCGGAGAAGUUUGCCUUUAUUAAGGAUUAUAUUGAUGGGUUGCGUUUUACUUCUACACAUGAUGAUUUUGAUAGAUAUAAUAUCCAUGUGCUUGCUGCUCGUACUUGCAAUUAUUAUGAGAGAGUAACUAUAUCUCCACCUCUCUAUGUUUCCAACAUGAUAAAAUUGCAAGAAACUACUUAUAAUAUGCAUUGGCCUUUACUAGGUGUGCAUGAAUUGUUCUUUUAUGACAGGCCGAUGCAUAGGAAGAGAGUUAGACUUCGUCAUUGCUUGAUAUAUGUUGCUUUGUGCUCACUACUAAAUGCCAAAUCAUUGUUAAUUAAAAUUGGCUUUAAUAUACCUUGGGAUCCAGGUGGAUCCAUUACUUGA
rnacentral:rRNA from 1 species